AUGGCUGAUCCUCUGCGGAGGACUUUACUAGCGAAACUCCGGGGGAAGAAAUCCAAGAAAGGAGCAACGGUCGGCGGUGGAUACGGCUCUGCUGCUGCUGCUGCUGCUGCGGCGGCGAAUGGGGGCCGAGAAGGUAAAGAAAAAGUUUUGCAAACGCAGCGAGACUCCGACGAGGCUCGCCCGGUGGUGUUGCUCGCGACAGAGAGAAUGAGUACGUACGAGAAUUGUGUUGACGGGGCGAUGGUGCGAGCCGGGGGGGUUGUGGUAGUCCGGGAGAGCCGCGCGGCGGAGUCGGCCGGCGCGCGUCCCCAGGAGCGCAGCAGCGGGGGCAGGGCUCGGGUUAAUGAGGAGCUCCUGGGGGUCUCACUUCAAAGAGCCGGCCAGUUUGGGGGACACGCGGUCGGGAGGGAGGGAGACGGGAGCCACCGGGGGCCCAGAUCUGGUGGCAAAAUCGCGUUAUCGCCGGGGGUCACGCUCGCAGGACCGCAUGUCCAGAGGAAGCACUUCGUCUCGGUCCCGCGGCAGUGCAGCGUCGGGGAUUCAAUCGGGUUUGGGGACAAUUCAAAUCACGUUCUGUACCGAGCACAGGUUGAGCCACAGGGUAAACCGGCAGAGGGCCCGGUUAGUACCGCUGAUGACAGAGGACAGCCCCGGCGCAUGGCAGAGGCUGCUCCUGAACACAACGCCAACUGGAGUCUGAACAACAACCAAAGUUUGGAGGCAGACCCGCCGGUGUGCGCGGCACACGUGCACCUGACCUGUGCGUCAGGUAGCACGGAGGAAAACAUUCUGAUCCGCAACGUUGAGAGCUACGAGCCCGAGUACGCAGGGGACACCAGAGGCACUGCGGGCGCCCUGCAGAGCCCGACGUUUUUCCCCACGGAGCUAGAAAUACGCGACAUUAACAUGGCAUCUCUGUGCGCCACGGGGGGCCCACUCAGAUACACCUUAGACAGCGAGGAUGAGGAUUAUUAUGAUAACGAAAUUCUGCCUUUUUAUGAAACUGUUAGAACAAAGAGUGAUGAUGAUAGGGCAGAGGUGGCAGAGCUGCCCCAGCCCGGUCAGGAUAAAGGACAGCUUAGUGACAGCAACAGUGCCCAGGAAACAGACAGGCUUAGGAGCCAGCUGAAAGAAGCUUAUUACCUCCUUAUCAAUGCUAUGAAUGAUAUCAACCUGGACGUGCAACAGAUCAGUGGUGGUUUUACUGAGCAGCAGGCCUCCUCCUCCUGUAGCAGCCACUCCAGGGACAGCCUGUGCUCCAGGUUAUCCGCCAAGAACAUGGACAGCGACUCGUGGUCGUCAGGAGGCGACCACAGCCCGCAGCAGGUGUCCGACACCGACUCGCUCCUGCUCUGCCUCAGUGGGAACCCCGAGUCAGGCGUCAAAGACAGCAGGGUGAUUAGUAAGAGUAUGCUGAACCUGUCUUUGACCGGGAUGAGGCCAGCUUUACUGCGCUCCGCGAGUGACGGAGCCAUCAGGUACCCAGGUGGACCCUCACUCUGUGCUCAGGCCUCUGGGGCUCAGGGUCCAGAUGUCAGUGGUGAGUUAGGGGCCACGGGGACAAAAGAGGGUAGAGAGCUGACAGGACCUCGGGUGCCUUACGAGGCCGUCAGCAGUGAUGAGAUGCUUCAAGAUGCCGGGGGCGAUGAAGGCCGUGGCGGGCAGCUCAACGAGAGCAGCGGCUCGAUCAACAGCCUCACGGGUUCGACAGACAGCAACGGCGACGCAUCAGCACAUCAGGGUCACGACCGCGAGCAGGAGCUGGCCGAGGCGCGAGCACUGCGAGCCAACUCUGUCAACAAGGGCCACGGUGUCACUGUCAACAAGAUGCAGGAGUGGAUGCACAAGGGGCGGCUGUUGUCCUCCGAGAUGAAGCAGCGCAUCGAGGGCUCAUCGCUGCCUCGUGGAGGAGGCCAAAGCCAGGACCGCUCCUGCCCUCAGGCCAACCCCGGUGGGUGCAAACCAGGCGCCCAGACGUCCGGCCGAGGGGUUAAAUCUGUCAAGGCCAAGUCACCUGCAGUCAAGUCACCAGGUAGGAAGGCUACACGGAGUGGCCCCAGCUCCCGUGGAUCCUCUAAAUCAGAGACCUCUCACCCUCCUUCCUCCUCCCGUCUGAUUAUAUUGUCAUCCUCCUCCACUCAUAGUAAACUCCGUCUGGUGGCGGUCCAUCCUGCACUCCUCCUCUUCUGGAUGCAAAGCAAAGGGACGAGCCUCCUCAGACCUCUUUGCUUUCCUUUUUUCAAGAUUCUCUAA
rnacentral:lncRNA from 1 species